GGCGGCGCGCCUAACACAUGCAAGUCGAACGAGAGAUGAGGAGCUCGCUCUUCAAAUCGAGUCGGCGAACGGGUGAGUAACGCGUGAGGAACCUGCCUCAAAGAGGGGGACAACAGUUGGAAACGACUGCUAAUACCGCAUAAGCCCACGGCUCGGCAUCGAGCAGAGGGAAAGGAGCAAUCCGCUUUGAGAUGGCCUCGCGUCCGAUUAGCUAGUUGGUGAGGUAACGGCCCACCAAGGCGACGAUCGGUAGCCGGACUGAGAGGUUGAACGGCCACAUUGGGACUGAGACACGGCCCAGACUCCUACGGGAGGCAGCAGUGGGGAAUAUUGCACAAUGGGGGAAACCCUGAUGCAGCGACGCCGCGUGGAGGAAGAAGGUCUUCGGAUUGUAAACUCCUGUUGUUGAGGAAGAUAAUGACGGUACUCAACAAGGAAGUGACGGCUAACUACGUGCCAGCAGCCGCGGUAAAACGUAGGUCACAAGCGUUGUCCGGAAUUACUGGGUGUAAAGGGAGCGCAGGCGGGAGAACAAGUUGGAAGUGAAAUCCAUGGGCUCAACCCAUGAACUGCUUUCAAAACUGUUUUUCUUGAGUAGUGCAGAGGUAGGCGGAAUUCCCGGUGUAGCGGUGGAAUGCGUAGAUAUCGGGAGGAACACCAGUGGCGAAGGCGGCCUACUGGGCACCAACUGACGCUGAGGCUCGAAAGUGUGGGUAGCAAACAGGAUUAGAUACCCUGGUAGUCCACACCGUAAACGAUGAUUACUAGGUGUUGGAGGAUUGACCCCCUCAGUGCCGCGGUGACGCGAUAAGUAUCCA
rnacentral:rRNA from 1 species